rnacentral:rRNA from 1 species
AGAGUUUGAUCCUGGCUCAGGACGAACGCUGGCGGCGUGCCUAACACAUGCAAGUCGAGCGGAGACAGUGAGUAGCUUGCUAUGAGCUGUUUUAGCGGCGGACGGGUGAGUAACGCGUGAGCAACCUUUCCCAGACAGGGGAAUAACACACCGAAAGGUGUACUAAUACCGCAUAAGACCACGGGAUCACAUGGUUCUGGGGUAAAAGAUUUAUCGGUUUGGGGUGGGCUCGCGUCCGAUUAGGUAGUUGGUGAGGUAACGGCCCACCAAGCCGACGAUCGGUAGCCGACCUGAGAGGGUGAUCGGCCACAUUGGGACUGAGACACGGCCCAAACUCCUACGGGAGGCAGCAGUGGGGAAUAUUGGGCAAUGGGGGGAACCCUGACCCAGCAACGCCGCGUGGAGGAAGAAGGUUUUCGGAUCGUAAACUCCUGUCCUUGGAGACGAGUAGAAGACGGUAUCCAAGGAGGAAGCCCCGGCUAACUACGUGCCAGCAGCCGCGGUAAUACGUAGGGGGCAAGCGUUGUCCGGAAUAAUUGGGCGUAAAGGGCGCGUAGGCGGCUCGGUAAGUCUGGAGUGAAAGUCCUGCUUUUAAGGUGGGAAUUGCUUUGGAUACUGUCGGGCUUGAGUGCAGGAGAGGUUAGUGGAAUUCCCAGUGUAGCGGUGAAAUGCGUAGAGAUUGGGAGGAACACCAGUGGCGAAGGCGACUAACUGGACUGUAACUGACGCUGAGGCGCGAAAGUGUGGGGAGCAAACAGGAUUAGAUACCCUGGUAGUCCACACUGUAAACGAUGAAUGCUAGGUGUAGGGGGUAUCGACCCCUUCUGUGCCGCAGUCAACACAAUAAGCAUUCCGCCUGGGGAGUACGGCCGCAAGGUUGAAACUCAAAGGAAUUGACGGGGGCCCGCACAAGCAGCGGAGCAUGUGGUUUAAUUCGACGCAACGCGAAGAACCUUACCAGGUCUUGACAUCCACUUAAACUUACAGAGAUGUAAGGUGUGCUUGCACAAAGUGAGACAGGUGGUGCAUGGUUGUCGUCAGCUCGUGUCGUGAGAUGUUGGGUUAAGUCCCGCAACGAGCGCAACCCUU